rnacentral:rRNA from 1 species
AUUGAACGCUGGCGGCAUGCCUUACACAUGCAAGUCGAACGGCAGCGCGGGAGCAAUCCUGGCGGCGAGUGGCGAACGGGUGAGUAAUACAUCGGAACGUGCCCAAUCGUGGGGGAUAACGCAGCGAAAGCUGUGCUAAUACCGCAUACGAUCUACGGAUGAAAGCAGGGGAUCGCAAGACCUUGCGCGAAUGGAGCGGCCGAUGGCAGAUUAGGUAGUUGGUGAGGUAAAGGCUCACCAAGCCUUCGAUCUGUAGCUGGUCUGAGAGGACGACCAGCCACACUGGGACUGAGACACGGCCCAGACUCCUACGGGAGGCAGCAGUGGGGAAUUUUGGACAAUGGGCGAAAGCCUGAUCCAGCCAUGCCGCGUGCAGGAUGAAGGCCUUCGGGUUGUAAACUGCUUUUGUACGGAACGAAACGGCCUUUUCUAAUAAAGAGGGCUAAUGACGGUACCGUAAGAAUAAGCACCGGCUAACUACGUGCCAGCAGCCGCGGUAAUACGUAGGGUGCAAGCGUU